rnacentral:rRNA from 1 species
AGGAUGAACGCUGGCGAGAUGCUUUACACAUGCAAGUCGUACGAGAGUUUUAACUCAAGUGGCGGACGGGUGAGUAACACGUAAGAAUUUGCCUUUAGGAGGGGGACAACAAUUGGAAACGAUUGCUAAUACCCCAUAUGCUUUUGAGUGAAAUGGAUUUUUCCGCCUAAAGAGAAGCUUGCGGCUGAUUAGCUUGUUGGUAAGGUAAUGGCUUACCAAGGCGACGAUCAGUAUCUGGUUUGAGAGGACGAUCAGACACACUGGAACUGAGACACGGUCCAGACUCCUACGGGAGGCAGCAGUGGGGAAUUUUCCGCAAUGGGCGAAAGCCUGACGGAGCAAUCUCGCGUGAGGGAUGACGGCCUAUGGGUUGUAAACCUCUUUCACCCAUGACGAAGCGUGAGUGACGGUAGUGGGAGAAGAAGCGCCGGCCAACUACGUGCCAGCAGGCCGC